rnacentral:tRNA from 1 species
AUAUAAAGAGCGAGAAGAAUUUGCGUGCGGUUUCGGCCCGUAUUUUAAGGUAGUUAAUCCUUUUUAUAUU